rnacentral:misc_RNA from 1 species
GUAUUUUUAUGAUAUGUUUACAUUCAAGACUGACUAGUUAAUGAAGCAACGAGAGGGGUCUCCCCCUCCCGUCGAAGGUGCACGAAUGUGUGGAGCGACGGCGUGCGGCCCGAGGGCGCACAGCCGACGAUAUUUCACUAAUGAUCCUUCCGCAGGUUCACCUACGGAAA